UGACAAUCUCUGGCUGUAAACACAGCUGAAAGUCACGCUAUGUCUGGAUACAUCUAUAGAAGACCAGCCACAUAUUAACAGUUGGUUAACAGAGGAUGUUUCUGAACGUCCUAAAGAAAAUUACAUCUGAGCAAAAGCCUGCUGCUGAGGACCUCUGUAUGGAGCCCCACAGGAAAAAGCAGGGAGCUUCAGAAGAACAGGGACUACACUGAGAGACGCUGGUGAGUCUCUGAGGCCCGGCUCUACAUCUGAAAGAGGCCACAACAUGCUUCUCAUAGAACAGAGGAGACCAAAGGUGUAACAGCAACAACAUUAAACAGUUGCACCAA